UUUACUCACUGGGAUUAUGUAAUCUCACCCCUUUUCCUAUCCAUUUUUCAGGCUCAGAACAGUUUGUUGAUAGUUGAUUAAGACGAGAAUUAAUCUCGGAGUUGCAUCCUAGAAAGUAAGGGUUCGUAGCCCUACACCUUCUUGGUCAGUUGGGGGCCCACGUAUCACUGUAAACGAAAUUUCAUACUUUAAUUAUCUUUGUU
rnacentral:lncRNA from 1 species